GAUGAAGAACGCAGCGAAAUGCGAUACUUGGUGUGAAUUGCAGAAUCCCGUGAACCAUCGAGUCUUUGAACGCAAGUUGCGCCCGAAGCCAUCAGGUUGAGGGCACGUCUGCCUAGGCGUCACAUAUCGUUGCCCAAUGCCUAUUGCAGUGCAAUAGGAAUUUCUAGGGCGAAUGAUGGCUUCCCGUGAGCGUUGUUGCCUCGCGGUUGGUUGAAAAUCGAGUCCUUGGUAGGGUGUGCCAUGGUAGAUGGUGGUCGAGUUAGAACGAUACCGAUCAUGUGCAUGCUCCCCAAAAUAUGGCCUCUAUGACCCACACGCGUCUUUUGACGCUCAUGACGAGACCUCAGGUCAGGCGGGGCUACCCGCUGAAUUUAAGCAUAUCAAUAAGCGGAGGA
rnacentral:misc_RNA from 1 species